rnacentral:rRNA from 1 species
GACGAACGCUGGCGGCGUGCUUAACACAUGCAAGUCGUACGGUAAGGCCCUUUCGGGGGUACACGAGUGGCGAACGGGUGAGUAACACGUGAGUAACCUGCCCACAACUUUGGGAUAACGCUAGGAAACUGGUGCUAAUACUGGAUAUGUGCUCCUGCUGCAUGGUGGGGGUUGGAAAGCUCCGGCGGUUGUGGAUGGACUCGCGGCCUAUCAGCUUGUUGGUGGGGUAGUGGCCUACCAAGGCGGCGACGGGUAGCCGGCCUGAGAGGGUGACCGGCCACAUUGGGACUGAGAUACGGCCCAGACUCCUACGGGAGGCAGCAGUGGGGAAUAUUGCACAAUGGGCGCAAGCCUGAUGCAGCAACGCCGCGUGCGGAAUGACGGCCUUCGGGUUGUAAACCGCUUUCAGCAGGGACGAAGCUUUUUGUGACGGUACCUGCAGAAGAAGCACCGGCUAACUACGUG